rnacentral:tRNA from 1 species
CAAAAUGUAGCUUAAUAAAGCCCCCCGCUUACACCGAGAAGUUGUCUGCUAAACCCAGAUCAUUUUGA